GGUCAUUUAGAGGAAGUAAAAGUCGUAACAAGGUCUCCGUAGGUGAACCUGCGGAGGGAUCAUU
rnacentral:rRNA from 5 species